GAGCUGCUGGGUGUGGUGCCAGCCCCCAAGGACGCCUGUGUCCCUGCCUCCCUGGCCCCGGCUGGCCUCGCAGCGCCCUGCAGACUGACUGGGCAUCGCCAGUCCCACCUGGGCUCUUUGCAACGUGGCCCGGUUGCUUUGCAGGAGAAGCAGUCAGCAGCCAAGCUGGCAGAGGCCCUGCGGGAGCAGGCUGAGAUCGAGAAGGUGCUGAGGAAAGAACGCGAGUGCCUCCGGGAGAGACGCGAGGGCCUCCAAGGGCAGACAGUGGGGGGGAAGACGGAGCAGGCGGCCAGGCUGUCCACGUCACUUAUGCGGGAGAUGGUGGCUGUGAAGCUGGUAGGACGGACAAGCCCGACGUGGGCCUUGGGGAAGAAAGGGUGUGCAGGGCACCCGUUGGCUUUGGGGGCACUGGUCUCAGUGGGGAUGAGGGUGGGGGUCUGAGCCCCCAAGGCCCAGCAGUCUUGCCCAC